rnacentral:rRNA from 1 species
AUACGUAGGGGGCGAGCGUUGUCCGGAAUUAUUGGGCGUAAAGCGCGCGCAGGCGGUCCUCUAAGUCUGAUGUGAAAUCUUGCGGCUCAACCGCAAGCGGUCAUUGGAAACUGGGGGACUUGAGUGCAGGAGAGGAGAGCGGAAUUCCACGUGUAGCGGUGAAAUGCGUAGAGAUGUGGAGGAACACCAGUGGCGAAGGCGGCUCUCUGGCCUGUAACUGACGCUGAGGCGCGAAAGCGUGGGGAGCAAACAGGAUUAGAUACCCUGGUAGUCCACGCCGUAAACGAUGAGUGCUAGGUGUUAGGGGUUUCGAUACCCUUAGUGCCGAAGUUAACACAUUAAGCACUCCGCCUGGGGAGUACGGCCGCAAGGCUGAA